NNNNNNAAUUUGCCCAAAAUUGCCCUUUUUUCCCCCAAAAUCCCCAUUAUUACCAUAAAUCCCCAUUUUUGUCCCCCAAAAACCCCAAUUUCCCCCCAAAUUUGCCCAAAAUUGCCCUUUUUCCCCCCAAAAUCCCCAUUAUUACCAUAAAUCCCCAUUUUUGUCCCCCCAAAAACACCAAUUUUCUCCCAAAUUUGCCCAAAAUUGCCCUUUUUUCCCCCAAAAUCUCCAUUUUUACCAAAAAUCCCCAUUUUUGCCCCAAAAUCCCCCAUUUUCACCCAAAGUUGCCCAAAAAAGCCCCAAUUUCCUCCCAAAUUUGCCCAAAAUUGCCCUUUUUCCCCCCAAAAUCCCCAUUAUUACCAUAAAUCCCCAUUUUGUCCCCAAAAAACCCCAAUUUCCCCCCAAAUUUGCCCAAAAUUGCCCUUUUUUCCCCCAAAAUCCCCAUUAUUACCAUAAAUCCCCAUUUUUGUGCCCAAAAACCCCAAUUUCCCCCCAAAUUUGCCCCAAAUUGCCCUUUUUUCCCCCAAAAAUCUCCAUUUUUACCAAAAAUCCCCAUUUUUGCCCCAAAAUCCCCCAUUUCCCCCCAAAUUUGCCCAAAAUUGCCCUUUUUCCCCCCAAAAUCCCCAUUUUUACCAAAAAUCCCCAUUUUUGCCCCAAAAUCUUCCAUUUUCACCCAAAUUUGCCCAAAAUUGCCCUUUUUCCCCCCAAAAUCUCCAUUUUUACCAAAAAUCCCCAUUUUUGCCCCAAAAUUUUCCAUUUUCACCCAAAUUUGCCCCCCAAAAAAACAAUUUUCCCCCCAAAUUUGCCCAAAAUUGCCUUUUUUUCCCCCAAAAUCCUCAUUAUUACCAUAAAUCCCCAUUUUUGUUCCCAAAAUCCCCCAUUUUCACCCAAAUUUGCCCAAAAAAAACCAGUUUUCCCCCGAAAUUUGCCCAAAAUUGCCAUUUUUUCCCCCAAAAUCCCCAUUAUUACCAAAAAUCCCCAUUUUUGCCCCAAAACCCCCAUUUUUCACCCAAAUUUGCCCAAAAAAACCCGUUUCCCCCCCAAAAUCCCCAUUUUUACCAAAAAUCCCCAUUUUUGCCCCAAAAUCUUCCAUUUUCACCCAAAUUUGCCCCAAAAGCCCCAAUUUCUCCCCAAAUUUGCCCAAAAUUGCCCUUUUUUCCCCCAAAAUCUCCAUUUUUACCAAAAAUCCCCAUUUUUGCCCCAAAAUCCCCCAUUUCCCCCCAAAUUUGCCCAAAAUUGCCCUUUUUUCCCCCAAAAUCCCCAUUUUUCCCAAAAAUCCCCAUUUUUGUCCCCCAAAAACCCCAAUUUUCCCNCCCCCAAAUUUGCCCAAAAUUGCCCUUUUUUCCCCCAAAAUCCCCAUUUUUCCCAAAAAUCCCCAUUUUUGUCCCCCAAAAACCCCAAUUUUCCCCCAAAUUUGCCCAAAAUUGCCCUUUUUUCCCCAAAAAAUCUCCAUUUUUACCAAAAAUCCCCAUUUUUGCCCCAAAAUCUUCCAUUUUCACCCAAAUUUGCCCAAAAAAACCCAGUUUUCCCCCCAAAUUUGCCCAAAAUUGCCCUUUUUCACCCCAAAAUCCCCCUUUCAUUCCUUCUCUAACUUCCAUUUUUUCUCUUUACCCAAUUUUAGGUGAAAUGAACCCAAAAUUCCGACCUGGAUUUCGCCGUUUUCCGACGUCCCCAAAAUUGCCCAAAUUUGGGCUUUUUCACCCCAAAAAAUAGAUGUAAAUAUUUCAUUCUCC
ensembl:lncRNA